GAAUAAACCUUUUGCAUGUAUCUUACUUGCCAUCUAACUAGUAGGUGAUAUACUUGGUACAAUUAACAACCAUCAUAUAUUAUAUAGCCGAGAUAUAUAACAACUUAAAAAACAUUUUAUAAAGAGAAUAUAAUCUUAACAUGAGUUUAAUCCAAGACCAAAUAAGAACACAUCCAUUAUCAAUAUAAGCUGCCAUUACUCACAUAAAAAAAUAUAUAUGUAUAUGUGCCGAUCUAAUAAUCAUUUAUACUUAAUACCUCUUGCUAUCAUUUAACCAAAUAUACAUGCCAACCAAAAGAGGUUAUUACUAUCAUUACAAGUCAUAAUCGUAGCAUUUCAACUAAAGGUAACAUAUCAAAUAUAUUUUUAUACUUACCAAUGUGUCAUGGCCGAAUCAUUCAAACUACUACCAGCCCACAAAUCAAUUUCAACGUACACAAAUAUAUAUCACUAAUAACAUUCAACCAUAGCACCUAGUAUUAUAAUUAAAAUGAACACAAACCAUAAUUAAGCAUAACCGAUUUCAAGCAAGGUAGUUAAGCCAUUUUCGCAUGGCCAAUAUACAUUCAUUUCCAAAAUAACUAACCCCAAAACCAGCCUAUACAUGCCAUAAUUUAAGUUUAGCUUAAAGGUACCAAAACAGUAGACAGUGUGCUGAACCUGGUUGACAAUCCCUAAGCUUGUAGCUUGACCUCAAAAUCUAUAAAACAAAGUAAACAUAGCACAUAGAGUAAGCUAUCAAAGCUUAGUAAGUUAGAAGCAAAUAAACAACUCAAUAUCAUAAUUGACUCAUAUUAACUAAAUGAAAUGCAUUAAUAUUUUCAUGCUUGACCUCAAACUUAUAAAUUCUAUAUACAAUACAUUUCUCAUAAACUAUUAUCCACCUAAGCCGAAUACACAUGUAAUUAUUCAACACCUUAUAAAUCAACUUCCCACCAAAUAGACAUAAUAAACCACACAUCCAUUUACUCUUUUAUACAACUUAAGAAUCAUCAAAUGACAUCCCAUGUUUAAUUAAUACCUAAGUAGCCGAAUACACAAAUUAUAUAUACAUAUAUUAAGUAACAUUUCAAUACUACACAAAUUAUUCAUUCACAAGCUGAAUAAAUAUACCAAAUACACAUGGAUUCUUUAUUUGCAUUGUACAUGAUUUAUAGCACAUAACUAUAGUACUUCCUUACCUUAUCUUAAGUAGAUAUCAAGUUAACUCAUACUUGACCAUUUAGCUCGUAUUAAACAAUCCGUACAUGAUUUACCUUUGCCUGAUGAACCAUUUGAAAUUGGAUAGGACACUCGGAUAAUCACAUAAAUUGUACAAUGCCAACGUCCCAGACGUGGUCUUACAUGUAACCAAAUAUCGAUGCCACUGUCCCAGACAGGGUCUUACUCGUAAACAUAUAUCAGAAUCACAAAUCGAUGCCAUGGACUUACUCGCACACAUAUAUCGGAAUCUUAUGUCAUGACAUACGUAUCCUAGCUAUUCCUAAGGUUCAUACUGGGCUUUCGGACGUCGUAUCUCGGUCGAAUCAAACUCGGAAGUGUAGUAGCCACAUUUAAUCAUAUUCGACCAUAGUAUAUUUAAAUUCCAACAUUUCAUAACAGCAUAUGAAUAUAACAUUAAGUUACCAAUAAACACGUCUAUUUGCUUAUAAACUUACCUCGAACGAUACAAAACGAAAUCGGACAGCUAGUCGACAACUUUCGUUUUUCCCCGAUCUAAAUCCGAUUUCUUUGGUUCUUGAUCUAAACAUAUUCAAAUUAUGCUCAUUAAAACAUAUUUUCAUUCAAUUUAGUCCUAAAACACAUAAAUAGGAAAAUUACCAUCUUACCCCUGACAUUUAUAAUUUUUACAAUUUAGCCCCUAUUGCACAAAACACAAGAUACACAAAAUUUCCCUAUACUUAUGUUGGGCUGAAUUUUACCCACUCUCAAACAAGUCCGUAUAUUCAGUUUGUUUCACAUUUUAGUCCCUCAAAUUGUUAUUUUUGCAAUUAAGUCCUAAUUACUCAAAAUCAUCAAAAAUUCCAAUACAAAACAUGUUAAUCUAAAACAUAUCUUCCAUUUUUCAUCAUCAAACAACAAAAACCAAAAUCUAUCAAAAAUGGCACAACUCAAAAUAUUCAUCAAAAUAAAAAAUUCAAGCAUGGGUUUUGUAGUACUUGAAGCAACGAUCUAAAAAACGUAGAAAUUAUCAAAAAUCGAGCUGAACUCUUACCUUGAUUAAGCUUUAAAGAUGGCCAAACCCUAACCUUUGUUAUUUCUUUUUUUCUUUUUGUCUAGUUUCGAUCAAGAGAGA
rnacentral:lncRNA from 1 species